GACCGCGUAGCUCAGUUGGCAGCCUGAGCUUUGGGCUAGUAUUCCAAAGGUCGUAGCCUCGUAGGUUCGAUUUCCACCGUGGUCA
rnacentral:tRNA from 1 species